GUGUCAGCCGCCGCGGUAAGACAGAGGGUGCAAGCGUUGUUCGGAAUUAUUGGGCGUAAAGGGCGCGUAGGCGGCUAUAUAAGUCUAAUGUGAAAUACCUUGGCUUAACCAAGGAAGUGCAUUGGAUACUGUAUAGCUUGAGUCCCAAAGAGGGCGAUGGAAUUCCCAGUGUAGAGGUGAAAUUCGUAGAUAUUGGGAGGAACAUCAGUGGCGAAGGCGAUCGCCUGGUUGGAGACUGACGCUGAGGCGCGAAAGCGUGGGGAGCAAACAGGAUUAGAUACCCCUGUAGUCC
rnacentral:rRNA from 1 species